UUGGGUAUAAAAGGAAGUUGUUCGCACAAUUAAUAUUAAUUUUACUUAAAAUUUACUAUUGUUAAACUCAUUGCUUUAAAAAGAACUUUGAAAAUGAAGUUAUUUCAUUUAUUCUCCGCUGUAGUACUGAUUUGCUGUCUUUUGAUUGAAGCGAAGUGUGAUAAAGAAGCAGGAGGAGGAGGUAAGUACAUAUUUACAGGGCAACACAAAUACAUGUGGGUUGAGCAAGACUUAACAACAGUACUGAAAGACUGCGUUUAUCAUUAGACAUGAUGAAACAAAACAAGGCCCGU